UACAGAGGGUGCAAGCGUUAAUCGGAAUUACUGGGCGUAAAGCGCGCGUAGGUGGUUCGUUAAGUUGGAUGUGAAAUCCCCGGGCUCAACCUGGGAACUGCAUUCAAAACUGUCGAGCUAGAGUAUGGUAGAGGGUGGUGGAAUUUCCUGUGUAGCGGUGAAAUGCGUAGAUAUAGGAAGGAACACCAGUGGCGAAGGCGACCACCUGGACUGAUACUGACACUGAGGUGCGAAAAGCGUGGGGGAGAAACAGG
rnacentral:rRNA from 1 species